rnacentral:rRNA from 1 species
UACAGAGGUCUCAAGCGUUGUUCGGAUUCAUUGGGCGUAAAGGGUGCGUAGGCGGCGCGGUAAGUCGGGUGUGAAAUCUUGGAGCUUAACUCCGAAACUGCAUUCGAUACUGCCGUGCUUGAGGACUGGAGAGGAGACUGGAAUUUACGGUGUAGCGGUGAAAUGCGUAGAUAUCGUAAGGAAGACCAGUGGCGAAGGCGGGUCUCUGGACAGUUCCUGACGCUGAGGACGAAGGCCAGGGGGAGCAAAACGGGG